AGCGAACGCUGGCGGCAGGCUUAACACAUGCAAGUCGAGCGGGCGUAGCAAUGCGUCAGCGGCAGACGGGUGAGUAACGCGUGGGAACGUACCUUUUGGUUCGGAACAACACAGGGAAACUUGUGCUAAUACCGGAUAAGCCCUUACGGGGAAAGAUUUAUCGCCGAAAGAUCGGCCCGCGUCUGAUUAGCUAGUUGGUGAGGUAACGGCUCACCAAGGCGACGAUCAGUAGCUGGUCUGAGAGGAUGAUCAGCCACAUUGGGACUGAGACACGGCCCAAACUCCUACGGGAGGCAGCAGUGGGGAAUAUUGGACAAUGGGGGCAACCCUGAUCCAGCCAUGCCGCGUGAGUGAUGAAGGCCCUAGGGUUGUAAAGCUCUUUUGUGCGGGAAGAUAAUGACGGUACCGCAAGAAUAAGCCCCGGCUAACUUCGUG
rnacentral:rRNA from 1 species